rnacentral:rRNA from 1 species
GAUCCUGGCUCAGAACGAACGCUGGCGGCAGGCUUAACACAUGCAAGUUGAACGAGAGUGUUAGAUAGCUUGCUAUUUAGCAUGAAAGUAGCGCACUGGUGAGUAACACGUGGGAACGUACCUAUAGGUGGGGGAUAACGUUUGGAAACGAACGCUAAUACCGCAUACGCCCUGAGGGGGAAAGAUUUAUUGCCGAUAGAUCGGCCCGCGGAAGAUUAGGUAGUUGGUGGGGUAAAGGCCUACCAAGCCGACGAU